ACAGGAAAAUGACCUAUGAAUUGACAGACAGUAUAUUUAGAUUGUCUGUCAUUUCUGUAGGCCAAAGUUCUGC
ncrna:Ornithorhynchus anatinus (platypus) microRNA oan-mir-215 precursor